UAAAUGUCCCAUCCAUCGAAAUUGUCGAUAAGAA
rnacentral:sRNA from 1 species